GCUGCAGCCCACCCCUUCCCAUCCUUCAAAACCCAGACAAAGGCUAAAGCAACUCCUCCCGCGCCCCUCCUUUUCUCUCCACCCACACAAACACGUACACACGCAUGUGCCAUCUACCCCAAACCCUUGCUCUGAAGUCACAGGCCUGACUUCCAGACUAGGCUCUGCCCCUAAGGAAAUCACCUUUCUGGUCUUAGUCUCCCCAUCUGAAAAUGGCAUAACCAACCUACCUGCCUCAAAUACAAGACCCUGCUUGUGAAGGGCUGAGAAGCUGAGACCCUGCCAGAGCACUGAGGCUAUGGGCCAGCCCAGGUCGGUGCAUUCAUUCCCAUUCGCUCAUCUCCUU
rnacentral:lncRNA from 1 species